CAUCAUUGCCAGCCUCAGGCGUCCUUCCUUCACUACUCUGCACGGACACCUCAGCAGCCACAUGCCAUUAGGGAAGAGCCCACAGCAGCAAUACUCAUAAAUAUUGACUUCGUUUCAACAUAUCCCUCAGGAAGUGUUCGAAACAGCAGAAAGAACAAGAGGCUCUGCAGCAGGCCUGCGGGAUGUAAGGCAGGAAAUGAAUUGCUGUGACACCUGGAGAAACUGAGCUCACAGAAUCAACCCUGCCUCUGCCGAGCUGCAGUGUAAUACUAGCAAAUGAAACACUACUGUUCAUCACACCAGCACCGCACCUGAACACAUCCAAUUCAGUGGACUGUAUUCCCCUCUCUCCCUAUAGGAGAUCAGGAACAGUGAAUCAUUCAAGGCAAAGCUGAUUUCCUGGAGGUUGGGAGAGCACUCAGGUGGAAGAAUUAAGUCAUUUGCUAAUGAGAGAAAAUGUGAUUUGUUACUUCCACCCUGGUUCAUCAGCUCCUGCAGAGCUGAGGUGGAAGGUCGACCUCAAAGAGUCGAUGCCUGGGGUCCAACAUGGGAAUCAGGGGUCGUCUUGGUGUGAGUCAGUGGUGCUUUAUCAACCAAUGAUUUUUUGUGUGUGCACAUCAAAUUGCUAUGUGCUAAUGACCCAUACAAAUGUAAUCAUUAAAUUCAGCACAAAGAAAGGAUAUCUACUUUUACUGCAAAUGCAAAUACCCAAGGAAGCGCUAUGUUCUUGUACCUCUGAGUAGUGUUUCUCUGAGUAGAGUUCAGCCACCAGCCCCCGGACAAACAGAUCCCAGCAACGUUUGGCUGUGUAAAGCAUCAGACUCGGGUCAGGCUCAGAUUGGAUUAUUUCCAAAUGCAGCUGUACAAAGUUUUGUUCUGAAUUUGAACUGUUCGGACUCUUAAGUUCAGCUGGGAGAGACAUGUAGAGAAUACCAGCCACAUUCAUCUGUCAAUUGUGUGUACUGCCACUAAACCUGCAGCUUAUCUGCAAGUAGAAGUUAAAUAUGCUUUGUACCAGAGGGCUGCUGUGCUAUUCUUCUGUGUUGGUCUACUGCUGUUGUCAGAUUAGUAAUAUUUCAUGUGUGAGACAGUCUCUCCAAAGCAAACAUAUAACCUUUUUGAAGAGAAAAAUCAAAAAUAUAGCCUCAGGUCAGAUUUAGGUCUCAGCACCAAUCAGAUUCAGUCAGGCUGGGUUUGAAAGGAGCAGCUGCGGACCAGGUUCAGGUCUCAGUUUCAGGCCUGUGCAGACUUUUAUCGCUCUAACUCUUGAGUCAACAUGUACAUACAUUACAUAAACAGUUAAGGUUAGCGAAUCAUGGUCAUGUUUUUGCUUAAAUAUUUAAAAAAGUAAAUACAUCCUAUCUUACAAUUCAAGACAGCUUUGAUUUUUUUUUUAUUUAACCAAGACAACUAUCGUUUAUGCAUUCUCAUACAUUCGCCAGUUGUUCUGAGUGCCAGUUUUAGAUUCUUAAUAAAUUUGGAAAACUUUCUCGAAACAUGUUUUCACAUCAUCAUGAAUUAUUGAGUGGAUUGAUGAUAAAUUGAAAUACCUUCUGAAGCCACUGUGACAUCCGAUUUGUUUCCCGUCUAGAUAAGAAACUACAAAAACAUUUUAAAAACAUCACAUGUUGACAAGGUACAACUCGACUGAAAAAUGGUUUAUUACGGUUGGAGGAAACUCAGUCUUUAGACUUAACCAAACUAAAUGUUUAAUGAUGUUUCUGAUUGUGUUGUGACAUCCUGAAUCUACAGUGGCAAACAGGGGCACCACACUGAUGUAGGGAUGAAUUGAAAUAACAAGGAUCAUAAUUUAUUGAUUACUUUAUUUUUUAUUUCAUUUAUUAUUCAGGAAUCAUCUAACUUCAGUGUUUUAUUGGUCUUGCAACAGCAGGCUUUGUGUAUUUUGUGCAUUCCCUCAUUAAUAAGUGAUCGAAAUAGUAGUUGAGUACUGCCUAUUAAACACUUGCCUCCUCGCUGUAGUGAUAUUCUAAGCACAUACCACAUGGUGCAGAGAAGAGCUUAGGGCCUUCAAGGAUUCCCACUCCCUCAGAAAACAGUGAAUAAUACAUCUUAUUGGAUUUGAAGGAAGAGCAUCACACUUUGCAGAGGAAAAUAUCAUAAUUCAAAUAUAUGUGACGCAGGCCAUAGCAGGGACACAAAGGGAUAAAAUAAAUGCUAAAAAAUGGUAUCAGUGGAGCUUCAUGUUGUCAUUACCAGCAGAGAUAACUGUGCUGUCCUCUGAGCCUAAUACAUAAUGUCAUUGUUCCUCCUCUUCCUCUCUUGAACAGUUUCAGUUGCUGCAUAAUUGAAUGUGAAAACAGUGUAUUAUUCUGUCUGCAGGGACAGAAUUGAAAAACAUCAGAAAGCUGGGAGAUGGAAUAACAUUUUGGACAAGACUGUGUUUUCUCUUUUUUUUUUCUUAUUUCUUCCCUUAUGUUUUUUUAAGUCUGACCACAUCACUGAGCAAUUGUAACCCAGAGAUCCAGAGGGCUGACUGCUGAAGCAUGACGACGUCCUCCGCUGUCUCUCCCAUCCCGAGAACUGUCCUGAUUUAUUGUCAUUCGCUUGAUACGAGGAUUCAAAGACGGGUACACUUUUCACCCUCGGGGUGGGAGGUGAAGGGGGGAGGCGACAGUAUUGUUUGUGUCUGUGACUGUUUGGCUCAGAAGUUUUCUCAUUAUUUGAUUGAUUUUGUUACUGAGGAGUAGGAAAAGGAGACAGCGAGAGGGAGGACAGGACUGAAGAGACAAGCCCUAAACUCGCUGAACUCUUUUAAGCAUUUUCAUUGGACAGACUGGUCUAGUUGUCGAGACAGCAGCGGCUCCUGUCAUGUCUUUUGAUUUAAUAUCAAAGAUAAUCCAUUAAACUGGGAUCCUCUGAACUUCUCAUGGUGUGUGAAAGGCCUGCAUCAGCAUGGUUGUACAGCAAGAUGGGAGCUACAAAAUUAAUUACCUAUGUUCUGCAAUAGUUUUCAAAUGUCACAAACCUCUAGACAGACACGUAUUCGACUGCAUGCCAUCUGAGUAUAUUUAGUACUGAAUAAUCAAUAGUGAAUUGUGCUUAGAAUGAGAUUAGAAAUAACUCUUCUAAAUUAUUUUCCCAGCAAAACCCUGUAAGACCCCUAAACGGCCAUGGACCUUAGUUUGAGAGCUGUAGAAGUCCUCCAUUCUGUUCUGAUGAAGGUCCCCAACCGCAACGCCAGUGAUUAAAAAUUUCUGAGCCAGAUGGUCAUGAAUUUUUUACUCUUCUCCUGGCAAAGAUUAGUUUUUGACUUGAUUUAUUAACAUGGGAAAACACACAUUAUGUAUUUAUGUAUAACAGAAAGUAGCCUAAGAUUUGGAAAGCAAAAAAACCUAAAACAUAUCUAUUGGAUGAGUUUUUACAGUUUAAUUUAAAUUUGAGAU